GAUUAUUAUAAUAAUCAUUAAUAAUCAAAAAUUAUUAAUUGGUCUAAAGUUAAUAUUUAGCUUUGCUAGAGGGGAAGUUCACUUCCUGUGCUUUGAAGGCUGGGUGUGUUUAAGUUUUGAUUUAAGGAGGGUGUGCACAUAACUCAGUCUUCACAGAUACUUCACAAGACCUGAGAGACAAACCUAAGAGUCUUUUCUCCGUCUUAGAUUUUUUGGAGUCUGAAAGGACACAUUUUGGUUAUUCUGUGGGAAACCAGGCUGUGGUUGUCAACAGAAAGAAGAAUACAGUAUAUCCAUGGUUUGGUGUGUCAGUACAGAUCAUGAUGUGAAGCACAGCAGGCUGUCUAUAGAAGUGUCUACAAGAGCAAUGGUGACCAAACGAUUAAGUAGAUGGAGUUUUGGAUGCUGGAGCCAUCUGGAUUAUGUGUUUCUCCUGCUCCUGAUGCUACUGUUCCUUCCAGUAACAUCGAGCACAAAUGGCACAACAAUUGGGAUUUCAACCUUCACACCAUCUACAGAACUUUCAAAUUCAAUAACAGCGACUGGAGGAACGGCCGCUAAUAUUACCAUAACAGAUUCAUCUUCAACCAAAGGUUCCAGUAACUCAUCAACAGUGCCAGUAACACCAAGCCAUGAUGUGCAAAAUACAACUACGAUGUCGGAGACCACAGUCACGUCUUCUAACAUCAGCACAAUGAUCCCAGCAACAACAUUCACUCCUGAAUCACAAAGAACUUAUAAUCAAACUGUGGAAAGCACACCAUACACAUCCACUGGAAACAUGACUUCUUUUGAACCAACACCAAACUUCACAUCCACUGGGUACACAACUUCUUUUGAAACAACGGCAAACUUCACAUCCACUGGAAACACAACUUCUUUUGUAACAACGGCAAACUUCACAUCCACUGGAAACACAACUUCUCUUGUAACAACGGCAAACUUCACAUCCACUGGAAACACAACUUCUUUUGUAACAACGGCAAACUUCACAUUGACUGGAAACACGACUUCAUUUGAAACAACUACAAACCUCACAACAUUUACAGCAACACCCGGACCAUCCCCCUCCGCCAAUAUAACUGAUACAACACCAACCAUUAACCAAACAUCAGCAACGACAGCACCCACACCUUGUAACUUUAAUCAAAGCUGUGUAAAAGCAUUUUACUGGAUGACCGUUAAUGUAACAAGAACACUUGAAAAUGAAAUACAGAUCCGGACAUGGCUUGAGCAGCUUUACAAAAGCAAACUAAAUGCAUGUGCAGUUAUGGCAGUGGCGGCAUUUGACAGCAAAUUAUUAACAGAUGUGCCUACAAGCAUAAGUACACAGACACCCAUGUUUGAAGUAAGUGCAGAUUCAGUUGUCAUUGCAAGCUGCAUAUUUUGGCAUUUUAUUAGAGUUUGUCUGAGAAGCAUACACAAACUUUGCUUUUAUUUUUUAUUAUUAGGGCAUGGAGGUCACGUGCGAUCCAAAGAAUAG
ensembl:lncRNA